AAGAUCAUAGAGGUAAAGUUGUCAUCAGAGUUAGCACUUUACCUCUAUGGUCUUUC
rnacentral:precursor_RNA from 1 species